rnacentral:rRNA from 1 species
GACGAACGCUGGCGGCGUGCUUAACACAUGCAAGUCGAACGGAAAGGCCUGCUUUCCCUUGUGGUUUGCGGGUACUCGAGUGGCGAACGGGUGAGUAACACGUGAGUGAUCUGCCCCCAACUCGGGUAUAAGCCUGGGAAACUGGGUCUAAUUUCCGGUAGGACGGCAGGGUGGUGCCUGUGUCGGGAAACGAUUUUCUAGUGGUUGGGGAUGAGCUGGCGGCCGAUUAGCUUGCUGGUGGGGUAACGGCCUACCAAGGCGGCGACGGGUAGCCGGAGAGAGAGGGUGGACAGACAGAUUGGGACUGAGAGACGACCCAGACACGUACGGGAGGAAGGGGUGGGGAAGAAUGAAGGGUGAGCGGAAGCCUGAGGCAGCGCGGGUGUGAGGAAGGUCUUGGGAUUGGGGUGCUAAUCUACUUGGGACGGAGGGGAGUAAGUCUAGUUGGAGGGGUGGUGACGGUAGUAGUAGAAGAAGCACCGGCUAACUACGUG